GACAGAGGCCUCAAGCGUUAGGCGGAAUCACUGGGCUUAAAGCGUGUGUAGGCGGAUCGUUAAGUACCUUGUGAAAUCCCACGGCUCAACCGUGGAACUGCUUGGUAUACUGCGAUUCUUGAGCCACUUAGGGGCUACCGGAACAAAUGGUGGAGCGGUGAAAUGCGUAGAUAUCAUUUGGAACGCCAAUGGUGAAAACAGGUAGCUGGGAGUGUGCUGACGCUGAGACACGAAAGCCAGGGGAGCGAACGGG
rnacentral:rRNA from 1 species